rnacentral:tRNA from 1 species
GGCGUCAUAGCCAAGCGGUAAGGCAUGGGUCUGCAAAACCCUGAUGCCCCAGUUCGAAUCUGGGUGACGCCUCCA